rnacentral:rRNA from 1 species
UACGAAGGGGGCUAGCGUUGUUCGGAAUUACUGGGCGUAAAGCGCACGUAGGCGGAUUGGAAAGUUGGGGGUGAAAUCCCGGGGCUCAACCCCGGAACUGCCUUCAAAACUCCCAGUCUGGAGGUCGAGAGAGGUGAGUGGAAUUCCGAGUGUAGAGGUGAAAUUCGUAGAUAUUCGGAGGAACACCAGUGGCGAAGGCGGCUCACUGGCUCGAUACUGACGCUGAGGUGCGAAGGCGUGGGGAGCGAACGGG